GUAUAAGGGCAAAACUGCUUAAAAGCAGUGACGCAAAGCCAAGGGUCUAAGCCUGUGAAGGUAUGACAGCCGGUUGCCGA
rnacentral:ncRNA from 1 species